rnacentral:rRNA from 1 species
GCAAAUUACCCAAUCCCGACACGGGGAGGUAGUGACAAUAAAUAACAAUACAGGCGCUCGAUAAGAGUCUUGUAAUUGGAAUGAGUACAAUUUAAACCCCUUAACGAGUAACAAUUGGAGGGCAAGUCUGGUGCCAGCAGCCGCGGUAAUUCCAGCUCCAAUAGCGUAUAUUAAAGUUGUUGCAGUUAAAAAGCUCGUAGUUGGAUCUAGGGACGCGCAUUUCAAGCGCCCGUGUCGUUGGGUCAAACCAGCGACUGCGUUGGCGUUGCGGGCUCGGUCCGUCGGUGCCACAAAGCAUCGGCGUGUCAACCGGCCCGCCCGUCCCCUCCUUCUGGAUUCCCGUUCCUGCUAUUGAGUUAGUGGGGACGUCACAGGGGGCCCAUCGUCGUCAGCAAUGCCGGCGGUGGGUCCCUGGGGCCCAGAUCGUUUACCGUGAAAAAAUUAGAGUGUUCAAAGCAGGCAGAUCCAAUUUUCUGCCACCGAAUACAUUAGCAUGGGAUAAUGGAAUAGGACCCUGUCCUCCUAUUUUCAGUUGGUUUUGGCAGCGCGAGGACUAGGGUAAUGAUUAAUAGGGAUAGUUGGGGGCAUUAAUAUUUAAUUGUCAGAGGUGAAAUUCUUGGAUUUAUGAAAGAUUAACUUCUGCGAAAGCAUCUGCCAAGGAUGUUUUCAUUAAUCAAGAACGAAAGUUAGGGGAUCGAAGACGAUCAGAUACCGUCGUAGUCUUAACCAUAAACGAUGCCGACCAGCGAUUAGGAGACGUUGAAUACAAAACACCACCAUCGGCGCGGUCGUCCUUGGCGUCUCGGUUUCGGCCGGGGCGCGGGGACGGCUUAGCCCGGUGGCACCGGUGAAUGACUCCCCUAGCAGCUUGUGAGAAAUCAUAAGUCUUUGGGUUCCGGGGGGAGUAUGGUCGCAAGGCUGAAACUUAAAGGAAUUGACGGAAGGGCACCACCAGGAGUGGAGCCUGCGGCUUAAUUUGACUCAACACGGGGAAACUUACCAGGUCCGGACAUAGUAAGGAUUGACAGAUUGAGCAGGGCCCGGGUCCGUGUGGGCGGUAGGGUUCGGCGUCCGUGCUUCUUAGAGGGACUGCUGCGCGCNUAGCCAGCGGAAGUUNGAGGCAAUAACAGGUCUGUGAUGCCCUUAGAUGUUCUGGGCCGCACGCGCGCUNCACUGAUUAAUCCAACGAGUCCGCUUCAAUCGAGGCGCGNNUCCGUUGGGGUCAAACCCAACUGCGUCGCUGUCCUCGAUCGCGCCUGGGCCGAUAGGUCCGGGUAAUCUUUGCAAAUUUAAUCGUGCUGGGGAUAGAUCAUUGUAAUUAUUGAUCUUCAACGAGGAAUUCCUAGUAAGCGCGAGUCAUCAGCUCGCGUUGAUUACGUCCCUGCCCUUUGUACACACCGCCCGUCGCUCCUACCGAUUGAAUGGUCCGGUGAAAUCCUCGGAGCCGUGGCCUCUACGCAAUCCGGGCAACCGGGUUGUGAGGUCUCCCCUUUUGGCGGCGAAGUCGAUUGAACCUUACC